AAAAAAAGAAACAUCAGCCUACUGAACCAUUUAAAUUUAAAAGACGAAAUUGACCUUGAAAAAUUCAAAGAACCGCCCUCUGUUGUUUUUCCUCUUUUUGCAAAAUCAAAAUGUUCAUCUCUCUCUCUCCGUUUUUCUCUCCACCACCACAACACACCAGCACCUCAAUGACUCCAUUUUUUUCUCUGUCAACUCCAAACCAAAAACCACUUUACUUUUCCUCUUUUCAAAAUCAAAUUUCAAUGUCUCUCUCCCCAGUCCACACGCCACCAUAGCCUUUAUUCUCUCUUAACCCCAAAUCCCAACAGCCAAUGCCCAGCGGUAGCGUCCCCGCCGGCACAACACCGCCGACAUCACAAGUUCUGAAGAAACCGGCCUUUGUCUCAUCAGAAAAUCCCCAAAAUCUUCUCUUUCUAGCAGAACCACCCUACACCGGAAACUUCACGCCACUUCCAACACCCGACAUUCAUAAGAAGAUUGUCUAAAAUUGUUUGUUUAUAAUGGCUGUUAGAAAAUAAAUUUCAGUAGCAUAUAGCAAUAUUGGAGCAGCCACACAUAAGCAAUAGCUUGAGGAGUAUACUUGAAGACGUGCUGAACAUAACAAAUGAGAUUGACCAAGUUUCAUUUGGGAUAUGAGAGAUGUAAAUCAAGCAGCUCGCGAGCUUGCUAAGUGGGGCUUUGUUAACAAUUGGAAUGGUUUUGUAAAUUGUAGCCUUAUUGGCCGGGUCAUCUAAUAUAUCAUAUAUGUGAUCAUGAA